GAUGAACGCUGGCGGCGUGCCUAAUACAUGCAAGUCGAGCGAACAGACGAGGAGCUUGCUCCUCUGACGUUAGCGGAGGACGGGUGAGUAACACGUGGAUAACCUACCUAUAAGACUGGGAUAACUUCGGGAAACCGGAGCUAAUACCGGAGAAUAUAUUGAACCACAUGGUGCAAUAGUGAAAGACGGUGUUGCUGUCACUUAUAGAUGGAUACGCGCCGCAUUAGCUAGUUGGUAAGGUAACGGCUUACCAAGGCAACGAUGCGUAAGCGAGCGGAGAGGGUGAUCGGCCACACUGGAGCUGGGCCACGGUCCAGACUCCUACGGGAGGCAGCAGUAGGGAAUCGUCCGCAAUGGGCGAAAGCCUGACGGAGCGACGCCGCGUGAGUGAUGAAGGUCUUCGGAUCGUAAAACUCUGUUAUUAGGUAAGAACAACUGUGUAAGUAACUAUGCACGUCUUGACGGUACCUAAUCAGAAAGCCACGGCUAACUACGUG
rnacentral:rRNA from 1 species